AGAGGUGAAAUUCUUAGAUUUACUGAAGACUAACUACUGCGAAAGCAUUUGCCAAGGACGUUUUCAUUAAUCAAGAACGAAGGUUAGGGGAUCAAAAAUGAUUAGAUACCGUUGUAGUCCUAACAGUAAACUAUGCCGACUAGGGAUCGGGCCAUGUUCAUCUUUUGACUGGCUCGGCACCUUACGAGAAAUCAAAGUCUUUGGGUUCUAGGGGG
rnacentral:rRNA from 1 species